CGGGUGAGUAACACGUGGAUAACCUACCUAUAAGACUGGGAUAACUUCGGGAAACCGGAGCUAAUACCGAAUAAUAUAUUGAACCGCAUGGUUCAAUAGUGAAAGACGGUUUUGCUGUCACUUAUAGAUGGAUCCGCGCCGCAUUAGCUAGUUGGUAGGGUAACGGCUUACCAAGGCGACGAUGCGUAGCCGACCUGAGAGGGUGAUCGGCCACACUGGAACUGAGACACGGUCCAG
rnacentral:rRNA from 1 species